rnacentral:rRNA from 1 species
UACGAAGGGGGCUAGCGUUGCUCGGAAUCACUGGGCGUAAAGCGCACGUAGGCGGAUUGUUAAGUCAGGGGUGAAAUCCUGGAGCUCAACUCCAGAACUGCCUUUGAUACUGGCAAUCUCGAGUUCGGGAGAGGUGAGUGGAACUGCGAGUGUAGAGGUGAAAUUCGUAGAUAUUCGCAAGAACACCAGUGGCGAAGGCGGCUCACUGGCCCGGUACUGACGCUGAGGUGCGAAAGCGUGGGGAGCAAACAGG